rnacentral:rRNA from 1 species
CAUAGGAGAGUCGCGCUGGAAAUGCCGACUCUCCCAAACGCUCCGGGGCCGUAGAAUGUGUCUGCGGCCGAUUAGGUAGACGGUGGGGUAACGGCCCACCGUGCCGAAUAUCGGUACGGGUUGGGAGAGCAAGAGCCCGGAGACGGAAUCUGAGACAAGAUUCCGGCCCCUACGGGGCGCACAGGGGCAAAACCUUUACACUGCACGCAAGGGGAUGAGGGGGCCCCCCAAGGGCGAGGCCUUAUCGCCUUCGUUUUUUCCCGACUGUAAGGGGGGUCGGGGAAAAAAGAGUG